rnacentral:rRNA from 1 species
UACGGAGGGUGCAAGCGUUAUCCGGAUUCACUGGGUUUAAAGGGUGCGUAGGCGGGCAGGUAAGUCAGUGGUGAAAUCUCCAAGCUUAACUUGGAAACUGCCGUUGAUACUAUCUGUCUUGAAUGUUGUGGAGGUGAGCGGAAUAUGUCAUGUAGCGGUGAAAUGCUUAGAUAUGACAUAGAACACCAAUUGCGAAGGCAGCUCACUACACAAUUAUUGACUCUGAGGCACGAAAGCGUGGGGAGCAAACAGG